rnacentral:lncRNA from 1 species
CCGGGGUGGGAGUAGGCGGUGGAUUGACAAUGGGGGGACUUGGAUGGUAAGGGGGUGGCAAUGGUGGGUUUAUGAUGGGGGGUUUGGGGACAAUGGGAGGUGGCUUUGGCACGUAGGGAGGGUUAACAGGGGGCUUUGGCACGUAGGGUGGGUUAACAGGGGGCUUUGGCACGUAGGGUGGGUUAACAGGGGGCUUUGGCACGUAGGGUGGGUUGACUGGGGGCUUUGGUGGCUUAAUGUGGGGGGGAGGGUGGACGACUGGAGGCUUUGGUGGCUUAGGGUGCGGCGGUGGCUUGACGACAGGGGGCUUUGGUGGUUUAGUGUGCGGCGGUGGCUUGACAAAUGGGGG